AAAAAAAAAAUAUUAAAGUUUUAACGAAAGCAAAGAAAACAAGUUUAAAAACGAGGACUGUGUAAUUAUGUCAAAAACUAAAAUGUGUUGUUGAUAAUUGAAACAUUUUAAUAUAUACUACAUCGUUUGUAAGUUUGUUACUUUUUUUCCUUCUCCUAACGCUACUGCUCCUUCCUUUACACUUUGGACUCUUUGUACGUGUGUCAGCCAACCAACCAAACAACCAGUCAAGCACAAACAUCUCUUUCUUCUUCAUUCAUUUAUAAUCUUCAUCUGUAACAUUGUUUAAGGAAAUGUUUUAUAGCACUAAAUUUAAGUAGACUAGAAGUAAAUUUAAAUAAAAAUUUAAGGGAAAUUAAUUACAAUUAAGGAGUAUAAGAAAAAAACAAACAAUAACUGCCAUUGUAAUGAAAACAACAAAUACAUGAAAUAUAUUAAAAAGUAAUUUUCAAAUUGAAAAUAAAAACAAAAAACUGCAACAAAAGAAAAAAAAAAACAAUAAAAAGCUGCCACAAAAGAACUAAUACAACAACACCUCCCUAAAAAAAACAGCCAACAAUUUCAGAACAAAAACCAUGAAUGUGAAAUCAACGACUUGACAAAUUCCAAAACACAACAGUCAAUCAAAGUAGUUGCAAAGAGGAGUCAAGAGGAAAAAAACAAGGACUAUAAAACGAAACAAAAAUUUUUAAUAGCCUGCCACAGGGUUAAAGCAACAAACAGAAAAACCUUUAAUUGAAAGUUGGCUUUAUGAAGGAUGAAAAAAACAACUAAAAAUGAUAAGUUAUACAAAUGCCAAAAAAGCCAAGAGGCUGUAGAGGUAAAUUAAUAAAAAGGAAAAACUUUAAAGAAAAACAAAACAAAUCAAAACUUUCUUAAAGACACUAAAAAAUUUUACGAAAUUAUUAUUAACGACGCUCGCUACCAAUGAAUGAAUCCGCGUUUGUAAUUGAAACAACAAAAACAACAACAGCAGCAGCAACAGCAAGACAUCAUACAGAAACACAUUACGUGGUUGGCGUAUUGAAGCAGACAUUUUCAACGGGAACCCCCACAGCGGCUAAAGCAUCAUUAACAGCCACAACAACGACAACAACAUCAUUAGCUACAAACACAACAGUUACUACUACUACUACUGCAUACAACAUAACAGCAACACAAAAGCGACAAGCUGUUACAUUUCUAUUAACACUACAACAACCAGCCACACCACCUCUAAUAAGAACACAACUACCACCCAUAAAAUUACGUUUGAGACUACAAUUGCUACGACUGCAAAACUACUUUCCUGGCAGCAGUUUAAGUAAAACUACAAAUUUAGAAUAUUUAAGUUGGUGGCUUAAAUGUAGUAGUUGUGGCUUUAGUAACACGCUUAAACAAGGCUUCAGAUAGCAAAAAAGCAUUUUACUUUGGGUUGGUUUCUAAAUCUAACAUUUAAUCUCCCUUUGUCUUGCACUCUACUCUAUAUAUCUCUCUCUGUUUAAAAUUUGUCAUUUGUGGCUUUGCAGCUCUUUCACACACUCUCUACAACCACCGCUAAGAAAAAAUAACGAACUACAAAAAGUUUUUAAACUACUUAAGCUACAACGAAUUGUAUAACUAAUACUAACAACUACGAGAUUUCCUUAAAACCGGACAACAACAACAAAACGUUAAAUACUUAAAAUUUUCUUUAAUUAUCUAUAAAAAUUAAAAUAAUAACAUAAAAAUUAAUAACAAUAACUGCAAAGAAAGAAAAACAGCAACAACAAUAACAUAAUGAUUGCCAUUGUUUCAAAGAUUUUUAAAAGUGCUUACAUUUUUACUCUGGACAAUUGACAGCAAGAGCAGCAGCAGCCAACAAAACAGCAGUAGCAGCAGAACUUUUGCUUUAGAACUAAAUUAACAAAACCUCCUGAAAAAAACAUAGUAACUGCAAACAAAAACAAAAACUAUUGCUUUACCACAUUUUUCCUUUAAAUACUUCAUUGUCAUUUUUUCGACUCAUAUUUCCCAAUUCAUUGUUUGCUCCUUCGCAUGCCAACGGGUAGAAAUCAUCCAUUGCUUUAUUAAGGCUUCUUCAAACCACAACAUCACUACCACCUACCAAAGCAGCAACAACAUCAACAACCACCAACCCUGUCUUUAACAAUUGCAGCAAAAAAGGACUUAGACAACAGCAAACAACAACGACGACAACAACAAAACUAAAAUUUGUAUACAUUCAGAAAGAGAGAGUGUGGAACGUAAAGAAAAACAAAAAAGAUUUUCAACUUGAUCUUUUGUUUUGCAUAUUUUUGUUUUGUUGUUUCGGUUUUCUUAAACAAAGAGGGCACCAACGAAUUUUUGCUCAUCGCACCACAAAAAAAAAAAAUACAAAAUCAAAAACAGCAACAGCAACAAGAACAACUACAUAAAGGAUAUAAGCAGAAAACAAGAACAAAAAAACAUCACAAAAGGGGAAAUGAGAUGAAGUGGUUUCAAGUGGCAUUAGAUAUGAUUCUUGUGCUUUCAUUCAUAUCAAGUAAGUACAUAUGAAAUGUUAUUGUUAUUAUUAUUAUUUUUUCUCUUUUUUGGUUCUUUCUGUUGUUUUAUUAUUAUAGUUGUUGUAUUUAUUUUAAAUACAAUACUAUGUAUUGUCUAUGUAAAGUAUAUGCAAACAACCAAAUAUAAAUCUUUGUAUAAACGUUUUGAAUUCAAUUACAGUGUGGGUUAUUUACAAAUAUUCUUAAAUGUGAUUUUAGGCAAAAAUUCUGAAAUCAAAAAAUGUUCAUAUUAAUCGUAAUUGCGUUUAAAUAUAUUUUACCUUAUAUAAAUAUGACCUUUAAUACUGAAAUUAUGGAUAGACAGACAUUGCACUCUGGGUCGUAAAGCGAUUAUGUAUUAACAGCUCGAAAAUAACGUCAAAAUUAUGAUA